rnacentral:rRNA from 1 species
CAGUAGCCGCGGGAAUACGGGGGGGGCAAGUGUUAUUCGGAAUGACUGGGCGUAAAGGGCACGUAGGCGGUGAAAAGGGUGGAAAGUGAAAGUCGCCAAAACACUGGCGGGGUGCUUUCUUGACCAUUUCACUUGAGUGAGAUAGGGGAGAGUGGAAUUUCGUGUGGAGGGAUCAAAUCCUAAGAUAUACGAAGGAACGCCAACCGCGAAGGCAGCUCUCUGGGUCCCCACUGACGCUGGGGUGCGAAAGCAUGGGGAGCAAACAGGAUCAGAUACCCCUGUAGUCCCUGUCUCUUAUACA